rnacentral:rRNA from 1 species
UACUGUGAAACUGCGAAAUGGCUCAUUAAAUCAGUUAUCGUUUAUUUGAUAGUACCUUACUACAUGGAUACCUGUGGUAAUUCUAGAGCUAAUACAUGCUGAAAACCUCGACUUCGGAAGGGGUGUAUUUAUUAGAUAAAAAACCAAUGCCCUUCGGGGCUCCUUGGUGAAUCAUAAUAACUUAACGAAUCGCAUGGCCUUGCGCCGGCGAUGGUUCAUUCAAAUUUCUGCCCUAUCAACUUUCGAUGGUAGGAUAGUGGCCUACCAUGGUGGCAACGGGUAACGGGGAAUUAGGGUUCGAUUCCGGAGAGGGAGCCUGAGAAACGGCUACCACAUCCAAGGAAGGCAGCAGGCGCGCAAAUUACCCAAUCCCGACACGGGGAGGUAGUGACAAUAAAUACUGAUACGGGGCUCUUUUGGGUCUCGUAAUUGGAAUGAGUACAAUUUAAAUCCCUUAACGAGGAACAAUUGGAGGGCAAGUCUGGUGCCAGCAGCCGCGGUAAUUCCAGCUCCAAUAGCGUAUAUUAAAGUUGUUGCAGUUAAAAAGCUCGUAGUUGAACCUUGGGUCUGGCUGGCCGGUCCGCCUCACCGCGAGUACUGGUCCGGCUGGACCUUUCCUUCUGGGGAACCUCAUGGCCUUCACUGGCUGUGGGGGGAACCAGGACUUUUACUGUGAAAAAAUUAGAGUGUUCAAAGCAGGCCUUUGCUCGAAUACAUUAGCAUGGAAUAAUAGAAUAGGACGUGUGGUUCUAUUUUGUUGGUUUCUAGGACCGCCGUAAUGAUUAAUAGGGAUAGUCGGGGGCGUCAGUAUUCAGCUGUCAGAGGUGAAAUUCUUGGAUUUGCUGAAGACUAACUACUGCGAAAGCAUUCGCCAAGGAUGUUUUCAUUAAUCAGGGAACGAAAGUUAGGGGAUCGAAGACGAUCAGAUACCGUCGUAGUCUUAACCAUAAACUAUGCCGACUAGGGAUCGGACGGUGUUUCUAUUAUGACCCGUUCGGCACCUUACGAGAAAUCAAAGUU